rnacentral:rRNA from 1 species
AGGACUAACGCUGGCGGCGUGCCUAACACAUGCAAGUCGAACGAGGGGUAGCAAUACCCCUAGUGGCAGACGGGUGAGUAACACGUAGUCAACCUACCUCUUAAUGGGGGAUAACUAGCCGAAAGGUUAGCUAAUACCGCAUACGAUCGUCGAGUGGCAUCACACGACGAUGAAAGGAGCAAUCCGUUGAGAGAGGGGACUGCGUCCCAUUAGUUAGUUGGUGGGGUAAUGGCCUACCAAGACUCCGAUGGGUAGCUGGCUUGAGAGAGCGACCAGCCACACUGGAACUGAGACACGGUCCAGACUCCUACGGGAGGCAGCAGUGAGGAAUUUUCCGCAAUGGGGGAAACCCUGACGGAGCGACGCCGCGUGUGGGAAGAAGGCCUUCGGGUCGUAACCACUGUCGAGGGGGACGAUAUUGACGGUACCCUGGAGGAAGCCCGGCUAACUACGCGCCAGCAGCCGC